rnacentral:rRNA from 1 species
CCUACGGGGGGCAGCAGGCGCGAAAACUUUACAAUGCGGGAAACCGUGAUAAGGGAACUCCGAGUGCCCGUAAAAUCGGGCUGUCCAUUUGUUUAAAAAACAAGUGAAGAAAGGGCCGGGCAAGACCGGUGCCAGCCGCCGCGGUAAUACCGGCGGCUCGAGUGGUGGCCACUAUUACUGGGCUUAAAGCGUUCGUAGCUGGUUUGUUAAGUCUCUGGGGAAAUCUUCCGGCUUAACCGGAAGGCGUUUCAGGGAUACUGGCAGACUAGGGACCGGGAGAGGUGAGGGGUACUUCAGGGGUAGGAGUGAAAUCCUGUAAUCCUUGAGGGACCACCUGUGGCGAAGGCGCCUCACCAGAACGGCUCCGACAGUGAGGGACGAAAGCUGGGGGAGCAAACCGGAUUAGAUACCCACGUAGUCC